GGGGGUCCGCGUUGUAAUUUGUAGAGGAUGAUUCGGCGAGGGCUCCCGCCUAAGUCCCCUGGAACGGGGCGUCAUAGAGGGUGAGAAUCCCGUAUGCGGUGGGCUGCCUUAGCCAUGUGAAUCUCCUUCGACGAGUCGAGUUGUUUGGGAAUGCAGCUCUAAAUGGGAGGUAAAUUUCUUCUAAAGCUAAAUACCGGCCAGAGACCGAUAGCGCACAAGUAGAGUGAUCGAAAGAUGAAAAGCACUUUGGAAAGAGAGUUAAAAAGUACGUGAAAUUGUUGAAAGGGAAGCGCUUGCAGCCAGACUUGUCCGCAGUUGCUCAGCCGGUCUCCUGACCGGCGCACUCUUCUGCGGCCAGGCCAGCAUCAGUUCGGGCGGUCGGAUAAAGGCCCCGGGAACGUAGCUCCUCUCGGGGAGUGUUAUAGCCCGGGGUG
rnacentral:rRNA from 2 species